AGCGAACGCUGGCGGCAGGCUUAACACAUGCAAGUCGAGCGGGCACUUUCGAGUGUCAGCGGCGGACGGGUGAGUAACGCGUGGGAACGUGCCCUCUGGUUCGGAAUAACUCAGGGAAACUUGAGCUAAUACCGGAUACGCCCUUUUGGGGAAAGGCUUGCUGCCGGAGGAUCGGCCCGCGUCUGAUUAGCUAGUUGGUGAGGUAACGGCUCACCAAGGCGACGAUCAGUAGCUGGUCUGAGAGGAUGAUCAGCCACACUGGGACUGAGACACGGCCCAGACUCCUACGGGAGGCAGCAGUGGGGAAUAUUGGACAAUGGGCGCAAGCCUGAUCCAGCCAUGCCGCGUGAGUGAUGAAGGCCUUAGGGUUGUAAAGCUCUUUUAUCCGGGACGAUAAUGACGGUACCGGAGGAAUAAGCCCCGGCUAACUUCGUG
rnacentral:rRNA from 1 species